CCACCAGUGGUGCUGCUUUGCACUCCUUAGGCAGGAGCCGAUGUCCUGGCUGGGUGUUGGCAGCAGCAAAGUGCCAGGGCAGGCUCUGUGCCAGCCCAGCUUGCUGUGGGAGAGAUUUCACAAGUGACAGGAUUCUGGCCACAGACUGCCUUAAAUGUACAUCCCUCAUCUCCACCCUGCACUAGGUGGAGAAUUACCAGGGUAAGGAAUUCCAGACAUGAAUUGCAAGGUAGAUAAUUGAAUAUCUGCCCUGAGUCUGUCUCUUAUUCUUGCCAGAGCCAAUGGCAAAAGCUGUACCCAUGGCAUCUUGGUUUCUGUUUCUAGCUUCAAAAGGCGUUUCUUUAUUUCUUCACUCGUUUUUUUUUUCUACCUGACCUGAGCUCUGGGGGUGCCAGGAGGGAUGGAGGUUCCAUUGUAUUCCUAAACCAGUCAUAACCCCUUGGAGAGUUUUUCCUGUAAAAUUAGUUCCUCUGAGUCUAUUGCAUCCAUGAUCCCAUCUUCAAAUUACUUGUUCCAAAAAUACUUAUAUAACUGAUCCUGUAGUUGCUGAAGCACUUGGAAAUGCUUCUGGCCACCCUGUUAGCUGACAUGCUGCUACCAGAAGAUAUUUAAGCCUUCCCACUUGGGACAGUCUGGUGAAAUCCACCUGCCAACUUUGGAAGGGACAUAGGACAAGGCCCAAGACCUCCCUCCUCUGGCAAGUUUCUUUUUAACUUGGUGUUGUAAGAAACAACUACUCACUUUGAAAAUUUAAAAGGUUUAUUAAACCUUGACAAAAAUACAACAAAAGGACUGCAUAAGGAAAAAUUUGCAGCACUGGGAACUACCCUGGUGGAUACCCCAUGGCCAGUUCAUCUUCAAGAUGAUUGCUCAGUCUUUUAUACCCCUGGCCCUUCCCAAAGUCUGUCAGGCAGCUCUUCUGUGCCAUUUAUUGGUGGAGAUGCUUUCUUGUAAGGGGAUUGGAGGUCAGGUGUUGCCAUGCCCACCCCCUGAGCACCAAGCUUCCAUUCCAACUGUCCUGUGCAAGGCAGGUGUGCACCCCUUCUUUGUACCUGUCUUAGACAGCAAUACAGAGGGGGGAGAGGGAUCUAUGGGGAGAACAGAGGACAUCUAAACUAGAAUAACAUAACUAUACAUCACUAUAGCUUUUCUUAAUAUUCACACAAUAGUCAUCCCUUAAUUGCGAGAGCCAAUCAUCUCAUUAUCUACCUAUAGCAGUGUCUAGGGGAUGGUUUUUUGUCUCAUAUAGUUUUUGGGGUUCAUUGUUUUGUUUUUUGUCUGGGAUGGUUGCUGUUUCGGGAGUAUUGCAAUGAGUGGGAGCCAGGUUGGGGUUUGCAGAGAGAGUCUGGGGCAGGGUGUGGGGCAGCUCCUUUCCUUCCAGCCAGCUGUUGGAGUGGCCACACUGCUGGUGUUUCUGACCGGGGAUCCUGCUGCUUCCGUGGGUUCUGUCUGUUUCUUUUUGUUUCUUUUCCUUUGGCACUGUGACUGUGCUUGCUGGCUUGCUUCUCUGCUGCUUGGGAGCCCAGAGCCGGUGCGUGCCGUGCCAGGAGUGGGAGCGCCCCGUUCCGCACCAGGGGCUGCCUCCUCUGCACGAAUCCAGAGCCCAGGACCAGGCACUGCCGGAUUUCUCAUUCUCAAAGCUUGGUCAGAUGGAGAAGGAGGCUGCGAGGAAGAUGCUCUGGGACACCCAGGCAGAAUAGGAGCGGAGGAUGGAGGCCAGGGAGGACAAAUCCCCGCAGCAGGACCUUGUGGAAGAGGCUGUUUUGAGCGAUUCCAUAGUGCAGGAAUCCAACGGGAAGGAAAAGCCCCAGAGAUCCCGCACAAGGAGGGGCUGCAAACCCAGCCCUGGCAUCUGUGAGGAGGAAAGACCUGCCCUGUGCCAGGAGGGUGGACAGAGCUUCAGCCAGAGCUCAGACAUGGUGGUCACUGAGCACCAUCGAAGCAGGGAGAAGUCAUACAAGUGUGGGGAAUGUGAGAGGAGCUUCAGCCACAUCUCCAACCUGAAGAAACACCAGAGGAUCCACACUGGGGAGAAGCCCUACAAGUGUAGGGAAUGUGGGAAGAGCUUCAGCCGUAGCAACAACCUGGCCCGUCAUGAGAAUACUCAUGAUAAUGAAAGGCCUUGCAAGCGCUCUGAACGUGGGAAGAGCUUUAGAGAGACAUCCAAACUAAACCAGCACAAGAUAAAUUGCUCUGGGGAACAGCCCUAUGUGUGUGAGGAAUGUGGGAAGAACUUCAGCCGGAACUCCAACCUGGUCCGCCACAAGAGGAUCCACACUGAGGAGAGGCCCCACAAAUGUCCCAAAUGUGGGAAGAGCUUCAGCCAGAGCACCCACUUGGAUGUCCACCAGUGCAUUGACACCAGGGAACAGCCCAACAACUGUGAGAAAUGUGGGAAGAGCUUCAGGAAGAUUCACAACCACCUGUGUUUGGAAAUCAGGAUAUGUGACAGCUACAAGUGCUGGACAUGUGGCAAGAGCUUCAACAAGAGGUCCCACCUAAUAGUCCACAUGCGCACCCACACUGGGCAACAGCCCUACAGGUGUGAGCAGUGUGGGAAGAGCUUCAGAGAUCGCUCCAACCUGAACCACCACCGGCGGACCCACACUGGGGCACGGCCCUACCUGUGUGAGCAGUGUGGGAAGAGCUUCCCCAGGGGCUCUCACUUGUCCCAGCACCGACAGAGGCACUGCCACGGUGGGCGAAGGCAGAGGCAGAAUCCAAAGGCUGAUGUCACCUUUGUAGCUGAAAGCUGAGACCUUCUUUCAACCUUUAAAAUAUGAAUUAGGAAAACACUGGGUGAUGCAUCACUCACCCUAUUUGUCAAAUGCUUCUAAGAAGGAUCUGUUGGAAUUUUGCAAAGUGUGGAGAAUAACAGAUAGUUGAGGAUGGUUUACUGAAUUAAAUUUUAAAAAUACCUUCUGCAUCCCUGUGAAUAAGAAAGGCCAAGGACUGAGCGAAGGAAAGAAUGUAAAAAUAUGGACUAAUUCUGAAUAUGCAUUUAAUGUUUUCGGUGAGGUCAUCUGGAAAGAGAGAGGACUGGCAACUGUUCAAGGCCUGGAAUUGAACACACUGAACAGACCCAUCCACUGCUAGAGAGUAUUAAGGAGUCUGGAGAAGCAGCCUUUAUACAUUGCAAGAUUCAUCAAAAUGGGGAAGCAACUCUUGAGUUAGAGAAUCUUUUUGUUGACAAAAUAGUAAAAGAAGCAAGAAAAAGGAUCUUAACAGUGGUGCUACAGAAGGAAAUCAGUUUGACAUGGUUUGCCCCAAAAUGUGAUCAACAGAGCCAUCAGUUUUCUGGCACAAAGGUUGAAAUCAAGGAAAGUGAACGGACUGUUACACCAGAGGGACAGACUGUAGUCCCACCUCAGCAAGAACAUAAAAACACUUGCAGGGGAACAAGAAACCUUUUGAAACAUUAAGAAAGCAGUAACAGAAAGGGAAAAAACUGAUAUUGUACAAUCCGUAACAAAUGUGAAAUCUUCUCUAGAACCCACCCAAACAUGAGCAAAAGAGUUGUGUUAGAAAUAACAGAGGCUGGGGAUUCUCCUGGACAUUGUUGGCGAAUAAAUUCUACUGAGUUACACCCAAAAAGGAUACAGAGCCAUUUGAAGCUGCUCCAGAGCGGGACCUGGGGAAUCACCCAGAGCUCAGAUUCUGCAGCCUUUGCCAGCACCAGAGGGACCGAGAACGGAGCGACACACCAGAGACGCUUUCUGAAUUUGUCAUCUCUUCAGAGCAGCGAGUGUUGUCAUCUGGUAUUGUUCAUCCUGUGAGCUGGGGAGUGCUUUACCUAUUAAAUAAACAGGGUUUUUUCCACUUCUCUCUGAAGAAAUUCGUCCCGAACUGAUUGAAGAAGAGAGGCUGUGUAGGUUGGCUUUCUGGAGGGGCCCCUUUUGGAGGCUUUCUCCCAGAUUUGUCCUAAACCAAGACCAGAGACGGGGAAGGCUUAGAAGACCAUGGGGGGAAUUGCAUCACCACUUUCACUCUUAAUUGGUGAUUUUUGUCAACAAUGCUAAUCUGCUAAACUUGCAAAACUGUAUUCAUCCUUUGUGGUGGGUGUGGGCAUUUUGUGGACAUUUUUCAUAUCUACUCCUGGAGGUCUCCAAUAAAGACCAGCUUUUAUAUUACCUCCUAUACAAAUACUAUCUCCAAAAGGUGUUGCUUUAUUUCUCGGUUCUUUAAGGCCUCACAGAGUGACAUAAUGACAUCUUGGGGAACCGAGUGUCACCUGCAAACACAACAGGGCUUCAUGGAACCUAGGUGCCACUUGAAUAGUGCCCGGGCACUUGGAAUUCAGUGUCCAUUGUGACAUAGCACAGCCACAUGGAACUCAGCAGAACAUUGUGACAGCAUGGAAUCUCAUGGAACUAAAGCUGUGCUUUGACAAAGUGGGGCCUCCUGGGACACAGGUGCCACUGGGGUGUUGCCAACGCUGGUACAACCCAGUGCCCAUUGUGACACAGCGCAGCCUCAUGGAGCUGUCUUGGGGAUGGUUCAUACCUCAUAACCAUUUGGGGGUUUCUUUGUUUUGUGUUCAUAAUGGUCACUGCCUCCCCUCCCCAGCUCUGAGAAUAUCGCAAUGGGUGGAGGGGCAGCCUGGGAUCCUGUGGGGGCUGGGCUGAUCCAGAGGCUGCUCUUCCUUCAGGCUGGGGUGAUCAGCUCAGCAGCCAUGCAGCACAGUGCAUCUCAUUUGAGACACUGUUGCCCUGCAGUUUUGACCUUUUGCUUUUUUCCUCGUUUUCUUUUUUCUCCUUUGGCACUGUGACUAGGGUUGCCAGCUUGCUUCUCUGCUGCUCUGCCACUUGAGAGCCCAGGGCUGGUGUGCUGGGAGCUGGGAGCACCCCUUCAACUACCAGGCUGCUCCCUUUGCGUGGUGACCCAGCCUCAGGUCCGGACAUCACCAGUGAGCCAUGCAAAGGAGAAAUCUCCCACCCAGCCGCUGCUGUUUUCUGCCACUGCUUAAUUAAGGUUUUUUUGCUACACUAUAGUGCAACACCUUGCAUCCAUCAGGACAGCCCGCUGCUUCUGCUUCUGCCACCGCUCCAGGGUUAGUGCUACACUUUCAUUCACCGCCCCCGGGGAUCUGCUCCCCUCUGUUCCAGCUGACACUCCGAGGUUCCUGCUGCCGUCCAUUUGCCCCUGCAGUGGCGCUGAGGCCGGCUGCUCACCGUGGCUCUGGCGAAAGGAGCCCCUUUCUCCCCCUGCCGCCCCCACAGCCGCCAUGGCCGGGUCAGAGGCCGCUGAGCUCGCACCACAGCGCCCCCUGCAGCCGCGGAACGGGCAUCGCCCCGCCCUGCCUGCCUGCCUGCCGGGGAGCUGCCAGCGCCCCUGCUGGCUGUGCCCGGAACUGCACCCAUGGCGAGGUCCUUGACAGCCCCUGCCCUGCCCUGCCUACUGGGGACCCACCAGCGCCCCUGCUGGCCGUGCCCAGAACUGCACCCAUGGCGAGGUCCUUGACAGCCCCUGCCCUGCCCUGCCUGCUGGGGAGCCACCAGCGCCGCUGCUGGCCAUGCCCAGAACUGCACCCAUGGGGAGGACCUUGACAGCCCCUGCCCUGCCUGCCAGGGAGCCACCAGCGCCACUGCUGGCCGUGCCCGGAACUGCACCCAUGGGGAGGUCCUUCACAGCUGAGUGAGGGCUGCCUCUGGGAUUCUGGUUUUAAUAUUGUUGCUGCUGGUUUUGUUUUUUUGUCUUGUUAUGUAUUUAUCUAUUAGUAAAAAAUUGUUAUUCCUUUUCCUAUA